rnacentral:rRNA from 1 species
CAGUCGCCGCGGGAAUACAGAGGGUGCGAGCGUUAAUCGGAUUUACUGGGCGUAAAGCGUGCGUAGGCGGCUUCUUAAGUCGGAUGUGAAAUCCCUGAGCUUAACUUAGGAAUUGCAUUCGAUACUGGGAAGCUAGAGUAUGGGAGAGGAUGGUAGAAUUCCAGGUGUAGCGGUGAAAUGCGUAGAGAUCUGGAGGAAUACCGAUGGCGAAGGCAGCCAUCUGGCCUAAUACUGACGCUGAGGUACGAAAGCAUGGGGAGCAAACAGGAUUAGAGACCCGUGUAGUCCCUGUCUCUUAUAC